GCACAAAAUGUCGGCCCGGACGCCAUUGCCGACGGUGAACGAGCGGGACACGGAGAACGUGAGUAGCCGGAGCCUCCCCGGCAAGCGGUGGGGCCGGGCGCUGCCCCCCGACCGCCGCUUCACCUUCCGCGUGGGCCGCCCGGGGUCCUCAGGGCGGCCACCCGCCGCAGGGUCUCCACCCGGAGCCCGGCNUGACCCUCGCCCCCCGGCUCAGCCCCUGUCCUCCUUUCCAGCCCCAUUUCGCUGCUUUCCUCUGAAGGGCGAGGGUUGGGGGGCGCCGUCGGUGGCGCCCUCCCCGCGGAGGGCUUUAUUUCCACUCAGCAUUCCGUAUUCCCCACCCGAAUGUUUGCUUUAUGAUCACAGACGAGCCGGCCGACUGCCUCUUCUCCCCUUGCUUUUCUGGCUCUUUCGGUCCUUUGCACCCCACCCCCCUGCAUUGCCCCAUGACUUUGCUUUUUAUCACAUUAGGUCCACAGUUGGGUCUUGGGCACCAAAGGGGAACGGUCGGGGAUGGAAGGGACGAGAAGGGGAGUAG
rnacentral:lncRNA from 1 species